UGCUCUUCAUUGCAAAAGCUUCAAUUAAACGCUUCAACAAGAAAACUGAUCGGUUCAUUGUUUGAGUAAAGGAGGAAGACGUACAGAGAGAUGCAAUCAACAAAGGAGAAGCUAAGCAAUAUGGCCAGUGCUGCCAAGGAACACAUCGACAUCUACAAAGCCAAAAUUGACGAAAAGGCAGAGAAGUCAGUGGCAAGAACAGAGGAAGAGAAAAUAAUAGCACAUGAGCGAGCCAAGGCUAAGGAAUCUCAGGCAAAGAUGGAACUUCAUGAAGCAAAAGCCAGGCAUGCAGCUGAAAAACUAAGUGCCAAGCAACCAUCUCAGUUUAGCCAUCACGACCCAUCCUUCGUCGGAGCUCACCAACACGGCACUAAACAGCCAGCCUAUGGGGCAGCUCCAGCGCCUGAAAACUCUUGCCCAUUAGCUCGAAACUAUCCCAUGAACAAGCAUAUUUAGUAGAUCUCAUGUUUCACUCAAGUUCCUUCUAGGAUGCUCCUUUGUUAACGCAGUCCCUUAUUAUGUAUUCUGAGGAUGGCUUGUAUUAUCUUCUGGCUUCAUUACAUUUAAGUUAGUUAUGCUUUUUUUUUUCCCCGGUUUUUUUGGGGCGGGGUGUUGGUUGACAAGAAUACAUGUCACAGUUGUACAUUCAUGUGCUUGAAAAGAAAAGCAGAAGCUUCGUUUUUCCAAGUACUGAUAUUUUGACCUCAUUCAUCAAAUCAAAUGGAAGUCAUAGGCACAUGCAACAACAUGAGAUGCGUUAACCCAAUAGGUUUUCGACAAGUAAUGUUCUGCUAAAGCCCAAUGCACAACAAGCCCAAAUAGCAUACAGUCACUCACAUAUACAUUUUCCUUUGUCUAUUUGUGACAUUCAUUUUUUAUUAUUUGUUGUGGUAUGUAUAUGCGUGUCUCAUUCACAUGUACUAACAUUUCUUCCCUAAAUGCUAUAUAUAAUGAACUAUUCAUUGGGCUCUAUGUGCCCUCAUCUCAAAUCCCCAUUCGUGCUAUUUUGUUGUCAUGGUAUCCCUGCUUUAUUGCGCUCAAAGCUCACUCGUCUGCCUUCCAACCUGCCAAAGCUCUCUACAGGUUCAGCUGGCCCUUCCCAAAGUUACUUUGUUCAAUCGGACCGCACCAACUAUACCCUUUAGGCAACUCAUGUUUUGCCUAUUAUCAAAGGUCAUAAACUGGAGGAUUUUAUCAACUUGCCCUUCUUUUAUUAUCACUAACAAUGUUUCAACACCUAACCCCAAUUUUGAAGAUUGGGUUGCUACCAAUUAGCUUCUCUUUGGUUGGCUAUGUCUCCACAUCUACUUGUUUGUGGCGUUCUGCAAGAGAGAUUGCUGGUGCUCAAAACAAAGCUCAUGUGUUCAUGCUGCACUCUGAACUAUAAAGUACUCACAGGGGUUCCUCUACUAUAUAGGAGUAUCUUACUAAAAUGAAGAAUCUGUUGGAGAGUCUCUCUCUUGCUAGAAGUAAGGUUCCUUAUUUUGAUUUUCUUCUUCAAGUUCUUGUGAGUCUGAAUGGGGAAUACAAUCCUAUUGUUGUUUAGCUCUCCAAGGAGGAAGAUGUUAGUUGGAUUGAGUUUCAAUCCACCCUGCUUGCCUUUGAAUCUCGCCUUGACCAACUUACUUUGAUUGCAUAGAACGUUAUCUCCACUCAGUUUGCUCAUCUAGCUGCUUUAAGCUCUCCUCGAGGUGGCUGGAGUGGUGGACGUGGUGGUUGUUCUUCAUGUGGGAGAGGAUGUUUAGGUCGUGGAGGUGAAAAACCUUAUUGUGCUUUGUAUGAGAAGACAUGUCAUCAUGUUAAAAAUUGUUUUAAGUAUUUUGACUUCUCUUUCAAGCCUCCUACAAACAACAACAGCAAUAAAUCUUCAUUUUCUGAUUCUGGUGUCAACCAAAACUCAGUGUUCUAUGCCUCACUUGAAGUUGUCAGUGACUGUUCCUGGUAUCUUGACAGUGGAGCUACAACUCAUGUUACAAAUUAUGCUUCUCGCCUUGAUAAUCCUGUGAAGAAUGAUGGUGAAAUAAUUAUCACAGGGAAUAAUCCUCACAUGUUGAUUGUGUUCAUCAAAGAGCUCAAUGCUUUAUUUCUACUCAAGGACCCGGGCAAUUUACAUCAUUUUCUUGGAGUUGGAGCCUACAAAGAUUCUACAGGGCUUUACCUAAAACAAGAAAAAUACAUUCUUGACCUCCUAAAAAAAUGUGGAAUGGAAAGAUGCUCUUCAGUACCUAUACCUAUGGUUUUCAACAAGAAUUUGUCCAUUCAGAUGGUGUUCCUCCCUCUAAUCCUACAACCUACAAAAAGGUAAUAGGUGCUCUACAAGAUUUACUAGACUGCAUAUCAUAUUCACGGUCAACAAACUCAGUCAAUUUGUUCAAAAGCCUACGGAUGUGCAUUUGGCAAGCAAUCAAGAGGUUAUUAAGAUAUAUAUAAAAGGUUCAUCAGAUAUGAAUCUUCAUAUAAGACCAAGUAAUUACCUUAAUCUCCAAGGCUUUUCUAAUGCUGAUUGAACUAUAUGUGUUGAUGAUCAAAAAUUCUUAGCGGCCACUAUUUGUUCUUUGGAGAUUCCUUGAUAGCUUUGUCAAGUAAAAAGCAUAGUGUUGUUGCUAGAUCGAGCACUGAGCUAGAGUGUAGGCCUCUUGAGGAUCUUGCUAUUGAGAUUGCCUGGUUAUAGUCUCUUAUUGCAGAAAUUGGUGUGAAACUCACACACACCCCAAUCGCUGGUGCAACAUCAGUGCAAUGGCUCUAGCGUUGAAUCCUAUCUACCAUGCUCGAACGAGGCACAUUGAGCUCAACGUGUACUUUGUUGGUGACAGAGUAAUCGAUGGUCAAUUGGUUGUGUAUUACGUACCUUCAUUUGAAAAUGUUGCCACAUCUUUACUAAGGCAUUGUCUCACUCGAAGUCUCUUAGUCUAAGGAAAAACUCAACGUCUCAAAAAUCUCCUCCUCUCAUUUGAGGGGGCAUGUUAAAGUAAAAUUAAUAAAGCCCGGCCAAUAAUGCUCUGCUCAAGCCCAAUACACACAAGCACAAAUAGCGUACGUCACGUAGGUUUUCUUUUGCCUAUUUGUAACAUCCAUUCUUUAUUAUUUGCUAUAUGUAUACACGUGUCUUGUUCACGUGUACUGGGGUUUCUUCCCUAAACACUAUAUAUAGUAAACUAUUCAUUGGGCUCUGUGUGCCCUCAUCUCAUAUCGCUAUUCUUGCUAUUUUACUGUCUCACAUAC